rnacentral:rRNA from 1 species
CCUACGGGUGGCAGCAGUGGGGAAUAUUGGGCAAUGGAGGCAACUCUGACCCAGCAACGCCGCGUGAAUGAUGAAGGUCCUCGGAUUGUAAAGUUCUGUGAUGGGGGAUGAACACAAUGACGGUACCCCAAUAGCAAGACACGGCUAACUACGUGCCAGCAGACGCGGUAAGACGUAGGUGGCAAGCGUUAUCCGGACGGACUGGGCGUAAAGGGUGCGUAGGGGGUUUAGUAAGUUGGCGGUGUAAUUCCGGGGCUCAACCGCGGCGCUGACGCCAAAACUAUUAGACUAGAGUGCCGGCGGGGGAAGUGGAAUGCCUAGUGGAGCGGUGGAAUGCGUAGAUAUUAGGAGGAACGUCAGGGGCGAAGGCGACUUACUGGGCUGUAACUGACACGGAGGCACGAAAGCGUGGGGAGCAAACAGGAUUAGAUACCCCAGUAGUC